GGUUAAGCGAAUAAGCGUACACGGUGGAUGCCUAGGCAAUCAGAGGCGAUGAAGGACGUGCUAAUCUGCGAAAAGCGUCGGUAAGGUGAUAUGAACCGUUAUACCCGACGAUAUCCGAAUGGGGAAACCCAGUAUCCAAUGGAUACUAUCAUUAACUGAAUCCAUAGGUUAAUGAGGCGAACCGGGAGAACUGAAACAUCUCAGUACCCCGAGGAAAAGAAAUCAACCGAGAUUCCCCUAGUAGCGGCGAGCGAACGGGGAGCAGCCCAGAGUCUUAAUCAAUAGCAGUGUCAGGAGAACGGUCUGGAAAGUCCGGCAGUAAAGGGUGAUAGCCCCGUAUCUGAAGAUGCUGUUAUUGUGAACUCGACGAGUAGGGCGGGACACGUGUUAUCCUGUCUGAAUAUGGGGGGACCAUCCUCCAAGGCUAAAUACUCCUGAUUGACCGAUAGUGAACCAGUACCGUGAGGGAAAGGCGAAAAGAACCCCGGCGAGGGGAGUGAAAAAGAACCUGAAACCGUGUACGUACAAGCAGUAGGAGCCUCUUUAUGGGGUGACUGCGUACCUUUUGUAUAAUGGGUCAGCGACUUAUAUUCUGUAGCAAGGUUAACCGUAUAGGGGAGCCGUAGGGAAACCGAGUCUUAACUGGGCGAAUGAGUUGCAGGGUAUAGACCCGAAACCCGGUGAUCUAUCCAUGGGCAGGUUGAAGGUUGGGUAACACUAACUGGAGGACCGAACCGACUAAUGUUGAAAAAUUAGCGGAUGACUUGUGGAUGGGGGUGAAAGGCCAAUCAAACCGGGAGAUAGCUGGUUCUCCCCGAAAGCUAUUUAGGUAGCGCCUCGUGAACUCAUCUUCGGGGGUAGAGCACUGUUUCGACUAGGGGGUCAUCCCGACUUACCAACUCGAUGCAAACUGCGAAUACCGAAGAAUGUUAUCACGGGAGACACACGGCGGGUGCUAACGUCCGUCGUGAAGAGGGAAACAACCCAGACCGCCAGCUAAGGUCCCAAAGUCAUGGUUAAGUGGGAAACGAAGUGGGAAGGCUCAGACAGCCAGGAUGUUGGCUUAGAAGCAGCCAUCAUUUAAAGAAAGCGUAAUAGCUCACUGGUCGAGUCGGCCCGCGCGGAAGAUGUAACGGGGCUAAACCAUGCACCGAAGCUGCGGCAGCGACACAAAGUGUUGUUGGGUAGGGGAGCGUUCUGUAAGCCUGCGAAGGUGUACUGUGAGGUAUGCUGGAGGUAUCAGAAGUGCGAAUGCUGACAUAAGUAACGAUAAUGCGGGUGAAAAACCCGCACGCCGGAAGACCAAGGGUUCCUGUCCAACGUUAAUCGGGGCAGGGUGAGUCGACCCCUAAGGCGAGGCUGAAAAGCGUAGUCGAUGGGAAACGGGUUAAUAUUCCCGUACUGGUGGUAACUGCGAUGGGGGAACGGAGAAGGCUAGGUUGUCCGGGCGACGGUCGUCCCGGUUCAAGCAGGUAGGCAGAGUGAUUAGGCAAAUCCGGUCACUUAAUGCUGAGAUGUGAUGACGAACCACCAAGGUGGUGAAGCAAUUGAUGCCCCGCUUCCAGGAAAAGCCUCUAAGCUUCAGGUUACCAACAAUCGUACCCCAAACCGACACAGGUGGUCAGGUAGAGAAUACUCAGGCGCUUGAGAGAACUCGGGUGAAGGAACUAGGCAAAAUGGUGCCGUAACUUCGGGAGAAGGCACGCUGGCGGUAGGUAAAGUCCCUCGCGGACAGAGCUGAAGCCAGUCGAAGAUACCAGCUGGCUGCAACUGUUUAUUAAAAACACAGCACUGUGCAAACACGAAAGUGGACGUAUACGGUGUGACGCCUGCCCGGUGCUGGAAGGUUAAUUGAUGGGGUCAGCCGUAAGGCGAAGCUCCUGAUCGAAGCCCCAGUAAACGGCGGCCGUAACUAUAACGGUCCUAAGGUAGCGAAAUUCCUUGUCGGGUAAGUUCCGACCUGCACGAAUGGCGUAAUGAUGGCCAGGCUGUCUCCACCCGAGACUCAGUGAAAUUGAACUCGCUGUGAAGAUGCAGUGUACCCGCGGCAAGACGGAAAGACCCCGUGAACCUUUACUAUAGCUUGACACUGAACAUUGAGCCUUGAUGUGUAGGAUAGGUGGGAGGCUUUGAAGUGUGGACGCCAGUCUGCAUGGAGCCAACCUUGAAAUACCACCCUUUAACGUUUGAUGUUCUAACCUAGGCCCAUAAACUGGGUCGGGGACCGUGUCUGGUGGGUAGUUUGACUGGGGCGGUCUCCUCCUAAAGAGUAACGGAGGAGCACGAAGGUUGGCUAAGCAUGGUCGGACAUCAUGCGGUUAGUGCAAAGGCAUAAGCCAGCUUGACUGCGAGAGUGACGGCUCGAGCAGGUACGAAAGUAGGUCUUAGUGAUCCGGUGGUUCUGAAUGGAAGGGCCAUCGCUCAACGGAUAAAAGGUACUCCGGGGAUAACAGGCUGAUACCGCCCAAGAGUUCAUAUCGACGGCGGUGUUUGGCACCUCGAUGUCGGCUCAUCACAUCCUGGGGCUGAAGUAGGUCCCAAGGGUAUGGCUGUUCGCCAUUUAAAGUGGUACGCGAGCUGGGUUUAGAACGUCGUGAGACAGUUCGGUCCCUAUCUGCCGUGGGCGUUGGAAGAUUGAGAGGGGUUGCUCCUAGUACGAGAGGACCGGAGUGAACGCACCACUGGUGUUCGGGUUGUCAUGCCAAUGGCAUUGCCCGGUAGCUAAGUGCGGAAGAGAUAACCGCUGAAAGCAUCUAAGCGGGAAACUUGCCUCGAGAUGAGUCUUCCCUGUCGCUUUAAGUGACCUAAAGGAACGUUUAAGACUAAGACGUUGAUAGGCUGGGUGUGUAAGCGUAGCGAUACGUUGAGCUAACCAGUACUAAUGAACCGUGAGGCUUAACCUG
rnacentral:rRNA from 1 species